AAUUCUCUAUUCAGUUUAUGGUAAUAAUUGAUGAAAUGACUCUGGCACGCAAGAAGUCUGUUGACACCUGUGUUUUUUUAUUUAGGUUAAUCAGACCUUGUUUGAGAAGUUUGGGGUGAAGCAUCGCAUCACGUCGGCAUAUCAUCCCCAGACUUAUGGACUGGACAAGCGGACCAACCAGACCCUGAAGAGGGCCAUUGGCAAGACCCUUGAUGGGCACCAAAGAGAGGUGGGAGGACAAACUUAAAGACAUUGUGUUUGCCCAUAACUCGUGUCCAUGCCUCCACUAGGUACUCGCCUUAUCACCUGAUGUAUGGACAGGAGCCACGACUGUUGUCAGAGAUUACGGGAAACGUUCCUGAGGUGGAAGUUGCUGAUCCAGAUGAGGGUGAUCUGGAGAAGUACAUUCAGGCAGGGGCUGAGAAAGAUGGAGAGGCUUUUGACAAGGUGAGAGCCAAUGUCGAGAAGGCCCAGGAGAGACAGAAGGAGGCCUACCGAAGGAGGACAAAAAAGGGGACCAAGUGCUUCAAGAUCUCCCCAGGCAUGGAGGUCCUGACGAAGGACAGCAGGAAGCGUGGAAGGCCUGGGCGCACGAUGGACCCUGAUUGGCCAACCAAAUAUAGGUUGGGGACAACAACCUGGUGCAGCUGGAGACCAUGGAUGGCAAGCCGCUGAAAACAAGAACACCCUAUGGCUCAGUGAAGCCCCUAUGUAUGAGUACGUCAACUGCAUGUUAAUCUGUCAACAAAAGUUUAAAAGCCACGGUAUUGCAGGUUCAUUAAAUUAUUUUAAAUUCUUCAUGUAGGAUCACCAGCUGGCUGACCAACUAUUGAAACUGUGUCCCCUCCAACCGAGUCAGUGCAUUCAGAUGACCCCGAAUUGCACAACUUUGAGUUAGAGGAGGACCCACUUCAGGUGACAUGCACUGUACUCCAGGACUGUUGUGCAUCCUCUCCAGAGUCAGGACAUUUA